rnacentral:lncRNA from 1 species
UGUACAUGCAUCGCAGCUGAUUUCUGCUUCUCGCAACGCUUAGCGUUCCUCUGUGUUUUUCCUCUCUGCGGAGUUUCCGCGGUCCUCUCUGCCUCUCUCGGUUUCCCCCUCUGCCUCGGUGCACGGCCAGACCCACUUUUAUCGGGCGAGAGCUUUAUCGAACAGUCCACCUUGGGUCUGAGAGGAAACAGGUCGUUCUCUUUUUUAGCGAAGCAACUGGGGAGCCGCUUCGAGACAUUCGCCACGACAACACACAUCGGAAUUCCUGCCUCUGUCCGAUCGGCAGAUGCGAUCUCUUCGCGAUGUCUGCAAGCCCAAAGAGUGGCUGCUUUCCCGUGAAAACCGUCGGGAGUUGAAACGCUGGACUCUGUUCUGGAAGUCUCGUCUCGUUUUUUGAAGUGCACUCCUUGGAAGCCGGACUUCCUUUCAACUCCGAGAUCGACCCAAGUUCAUGGUCUGCUACGCAGAGAGACCCUUUUCUGGAGUCUUCAUGGGCUCUGAGAAAUUCCGCGCUUCUUCGACUUCAGCAUCGAUCGGCCUACGCUGCUACUUCUUUCUACAUGAGUUGCGUGCAGAACUUGCGAUCGGGAAAUCCACGCGCGAACCUGUCUGGUACGGAAGACCCUCUGGUGUGUCUGCUCGGAACGGCCCAACGAACCGGAAGACAUCCGUUUUGCUGUCGGUGUUUUCCGCUCUCGCUCGAGACCGCAAUGCUCUUCCGUCUUGCUUCUCGACCUCCAGGUGACCGUCCUUUGCAAGAUUACCUUCGCUUUCUCGCUGCGCACUGCUGCCAACGGGAACCACAACUACGCGAAACUUGCUCUCCGUCUGCUGCAUCCGACCUCUCUGACUCUCCCUACACCUCCCUCUGUGUAUAAAUAUAAAUGUCGAUGUGCAUGCGCAUAUAUGAAGAUGCUCCUGUGAGGGGCGGGGGACUUUCUCGGAAGACAGAGCUCUACAUCGGGCGUCUCUGUCCUUAGAGCGGUGGACGAGGAGCUAGGGAGAGAGGGAGUCCUGAUGGCAUCUCGUCUUGCCCUCGUUCCCGAGCUCCUCGCUUCAUGGACCAACCAAGACGCGUUCGCAGAUGAUUUCUUAUUUGUUUUCGACGCUCCUGUCUGACC